rnacentral:rRNA from 1 species
GAUGAACGCUGGCGGCGUGCCUAAUACAUGCAAGUCGAACGAAACUUCUUUAUCACCGAGUGCUUGCACUCACCGAUAAAGAGUUGAGUGGCGAACGGGUGAGUAACACGUGGGCAACCUGCCCAAAAGAGGGGGAUAACACUUGGAAACAGGUGCUAAUACCGCAUAACCAUAGUUACCGCAUGGUAACUAUGUAAAAGGUGGCUAUGCUACCGCUUUUGGAUGGGCCCGCGACGCAUUAGCUAGUUGGUGGGGUAAAGGCUUACCAAGGCAAUGAUGCGUAGCCGAACUGAGAGGUUGAUCGGCCACAUUGGGACUGAGACACGGCCCAAACUCCUACGGGAGGCAGCAGUAGGGAAUCUUCCACAAUGGGCGAAAGCCUGAUGGAGCAACGCCGCGUGGGUGAAGAAGGUCUUCGGAUCGUAAAACCCUGUUGUUAGAGAAGAAAGUGCGUGAGAGUAACUGUUCACGUUUCGACGGUAUCUAACCAGAAAGCCACGGCUAACUACGUGCCAGCAGCCGCGGUAAUACGUAGGUGGCAAGCGUUAUCCGGAUUUAUUGGGCGUAAAGAGAACGCAGGCGGUCUUUUAAGUCUGAUGUGAAAGCCUUCGGCUUAACCGGAGUAGUGCAUUGGAAACUGGGAGACUUGAGUGCAGAAGAGGAGAGUGGAACUCCAUGUGUAGCGGUGAAAUGCGUAGAUAUAUGGAAGAACACCAGUGGCGAAAGCGGCUCUCUGGUCUGUAACUGACGCUGAGGUUCGAAAGCGUGGGUAGCAAACAGGAUUAGAUACCCUGGUAGUCCACGCCGUAAACGAUGAAUGCUAAGUGUUGGAGGGUUUCCGCCCUUCAGUGCUGCAGCUAACGCAAUAAGCAUUCCGCCUGGGGAGUACGACCGCAAGGUUGAAACUCAAAGGAAUUGACGGGGGCCCGCACAAGCGGUGGAGCAUGUGGUUUAAUUCGAAGCAACGCGAAGAACCUUACCAGGUCUUGACAUCUUUUGACAAUCCUAGAGAUAGGACUUUCCCUUCGGGGACAAAAUGACAGGUGGUGCAUGGUUGUCGUCAGCUCGUGUCGUGAGAUGUUGGGUUAAGUCCCGCAACGAGCGCAACCCUUAUUGUUAGUUGCCAGCAUUAAGUUGGGCACUCUAGCAAGACUGCCGGUGACAAACCGGAGGAAGGUGGGGAUGACGUCAAAUCAUCAUGCCCCUUAUGACCUGGGCUACACACGUGCUACAAUGGACGGUACAACGAGUCGCAAGACCGCGAGGUUUAGCAAAUCUCUUAAAGCCGUUCUCAGUUCGGAUUGUAGGCUGCAACUCGCCUACAUGAAGUCGGAAUCGCUAGUAAUCGCGGAUCAGCAUGCCGCGGUGAAUACGUUCCCGGGCCUUGUACACACCGCCCGUCACACCAUGAGAGUUUGUAACACCCAAAGCCGGUGGGGUAACCUUUUGGAGCCAGCCGUCUAAGGUGGGACAGAUGAUUAGGGUGAAGUCGUAACAAGGUAGCCGUAGGAGAACCUGCGGCUGGAUCACCUCCUUUCUAAGGAUAAUUUCGGAAACCUGCACUUUUUAUCGUAAACUUUGUUUAGUUUUGAGAGGUUUACUCUUAAAACAUGGGGCUUUAGCUCAGCUGGGAGAGCGCCUGCUUUGCACGCAGGAGGUCAACGGUUCGAUCCCGUUAAGCUCCAUUGAUAACAAUAGUUAUCAAACUUGUUCUUUGAAAACUAGAUAAUAUCUUUUAUUUCUUUGUUAAUUAAAAUAACCGAGAACACCGCGUUUUAAAGAGUUUAAAACAUUUAAUGUUUGAUCGCUAAACUCAUAACCAUUAUCGUAAGAUAAUAUAGGUUAAGUUAUUAAGGGCGCAUGGUGGAUGCCUUGGCACUAGGAGCCGAUGAAGGACGUGACUAACUGCGAUAAGCUUCGGGGAGUUGUAAGUAAACUGUGAUCCGGAGAUUUCCGAAUGGGGAAACCCAGCAGGAGUAAAGACCUGUUAUCACUGAGUGAAUACAUAGCUCAGUUGAAGGUAGACGUGGGGAACUGAAACAUCUAAGUACCCAUAGGAAGAGAAAGAAAAUUCGAUUCCCUGAGUAGCGGCGAGCGAAAAGGGAAUAGCCCAAACCAGAGAGCUUGCUCUCUGGGGUUGUAGGACUGGACAUUUGAGUUACCAAGAAACGAAGUAGUUGAAUGAUUUGGGAAGAUCAGCCAGAGAAGGUGAUAGCCCUGUAAGCGAAACUUCGUUUCCUCAGCCCAGUAUCCUGAGUACGGCGGAACACGUGAAACUCCGUCGGAAUCCGGGAGGACCAUCUCCCAAGGCUAAAUACUCCCUAGUGACCGAUAGUGAACC